AAACAUAUAGUAGUUGGUCUAACCUCUAUGGCCUGUGACCUCUCUAGCCAUGAACUUUUGACUAGGCAUCAAUUAAUCUCAAAGCCAGUCAGAAAGUGCUAAUUACCCUCAGAAUAGUCAUGUUACCAUCAUAGCAUUGCCCAUAUCUUGCCUGGCAGGUUAGUAUUGUAGUUAGCAGGGUUUAGCAUUGGAUAAGAAGGUUGCUGUCUUUUCUUCCCCAGGAUCUUCUAGCACAAUGAAAGCAAGCCAGUCAGCCAGGACAGCCAAGGCUACACAGAGAAACCCUGUCUUGAAAAACCAAAAUAAAGAGAGAGAGAGAGAGACAGACAGAGACAGACAGAGACAGAGAGAGACACACACAGAGAGAGAGACACAGAGAGAGAGAGAGGAGGUGUCCUUGUCAGUUCAAGAUUGAUUUUUCUAUGCUCUACUACCUAAGUGUGUAGUGUCUUCAGCAAUAUGGUUGUACCAUUUAGUUAUGAUGGGUAACCAAGAGCAAUGGAAGUAGCCUGUGUUGUUUUGGAGGCCUCUGGCACUUCCCUGACUAUUAACUUGUAGUCAGAUGUCCUGUGCAUAGCACUGAGAUUUUUGUUUAAUAUCCCAUAUUUUCUAGGAGCAACAUUGCCCAUCUAUGCAGGACCCUUAUGUUCAAAAUCCUUUAAAAAUUUAUAUAUAUAUAUAUAUGUGUGUGUGUGUGUGUGUGUGUGUGUGUGUGUGUGUACAACGUGCUCGAGUGCACGUGUGCAUAUGCACAACAUAUGUGGAGGUCAGAGGAUAGUGUGCAGGAAUCUGUUUUUUCCCUCCACCAUGUGGAUCUCAAGGAUUGAGCUCAAGGUAACCCAUUAGGAGGAGGAAAACGGACGCAAAAGCUGACAAGAGUCAGAGACAAUUCCCGCUCCUACUGUUAGGAGCUCCACAUAACCAUAGCAUAUAUGCAGAGGACCUAGCUCAGACCCCAUAGGCUCCUUGAUUGUUGGUUCAGUCUCUGUGAACCUUGGUUAAUUGAUUCUGUGGGCUGUUUUCUUGUGGUGUUUUUGACCCCUCUAGGUCCUAUAAUUCUUCCUCCUCUUCCACAGGAUCCCCAAAGCUGCGAGCAAUGUUUGACUGUAGGUUUCUACAUCUGUACCCAUCAGUUGCUGGAUGAAGCUUCCCUGAUGACGAUUAUGCCAGGCUCUGGUCUAGAAGUAUAGCAAAAUGAGUAAUACUCCAUUGUUUUUGGUGGCUGUAAUCUUAAGUCCACUGAUGGCUGCUAUGAAAUAGAAGGACUGUCAAAAGAGAGUCAUGAAACAGGACUUUCAAGCUGGACUGUUAAUACCGAGAAUACAGGUGAGGAAACGAGGCAUGGCUUACUAAUGUGCCUAUAUCGAAGUUUCUGUGAGUAAUGGAGUCGUCUGUGUAUCUUUCUUUGGAAGUAUGGAGUGUGUUGGCAGCCUUGUGAUUCUUCAGGUAGCUCUCACUGCUCUCUUUCC